rnacentral:rRNA from 1 species
UACGUAGGCAGCGAGCGUUGUUCGGAAUUACUGGGCGUAAAGGGCGCGUAGGCGGCCAGCACAAGUCAGUUGUGAAAUCUCCGAGCUUAACUCGGAAAGGUCAACUGAUACUGUGCGGCUAGAGUGCGGAAGGGGCAACUGGAAUUCUUGGUGUAGCGGUGAAAUGCGUAGAUAUCAAGAGGAACACCUGCGGCGAAGGCGGGUUGCUGGGCCGACACUGACGCUGAUGCGCGAAAGCUAGGGGAGCGAACGGG